UGGGGAAUUUUCCGCAAUGGGCGAAAGCCUGACGGAGCAAUACCGCGUGAGGGAGGAAGGCUCUUGGGUUGUAAACCUCAAAACUUAGGGAAGAAAAAAGUGACGGUACCUAAUGUAAGCAUCGGCUAACUCCGUGCCAGCAGCCGCGGUAAUACGGAGGAUGCAAGCGUUAUCCGGAAUCAUUGGGCGUAAAGAGUCCGUAGGUGGCACUUCAAGUCUGCUUUCAAAGACCGAAGCUCAACUUCGGAAAGGGAGUGGAAACUGAAGAGCUAGAGUAUAGUAGGGGUAGAGGGAAUUCCUAGUGUAGCGGUGAAAUGCGUAGAGAUUAGGAAGAACACCAGUGGCGAAGGCGCUCUACUGGGCAUAUACUGACACUGAGGGACGAAAGCUAGGGGAGCGAAAGGGAUUAGAUACCCCUGUAGU
rnacentral:rRNA from 1 species